rnacentral:rRNA from 1 species
UACGUAGGGGCUAGCGUUAUCCGGAAUUACUGGGCGUAAAGGGUGCGUAGGUGGUCUUUCAAGCCAGAAGUGAAAGGCUACGGCUCAACCGUAGUAAGCUUUUGGAACUGUAAGACUUGAGUGCAGGAGAGGAGAGUGGAAUUCCUAGUGUAGCGGUGAAAUGCGUAGAUAUUAGGAGGAACACCAGUAGCAAAAGCGGCUCUCUGGACUGUAACUGACGCUGAGGCACGAAAGCGUGGGGAGCAAACAGGAUUAGAUACCCUGGUAGUCCCU